AAGCCUACUCUAGCCCAAUCACCCCCUGCAAAACAAACGAACAAAUAAAAACCCAUUACUUUAAUAAAACUAAAACAUUCUCCAAACUUAGUAUAGGCGAUAGAAAAGAGCCUCCGGCGCAAUAGAGAUUUCGUACCGUAAGGGAAAGAUGAAAUAAUAAUGAAAAACCAAGCAAUAGAUAGCAAAGAUGAACCCUUGUACCUUUUGCAUCAUGAUUUAGCAAGAAUAAUCAAGCAAAACGAAUUUAAGCUUGCCACCCCGAAACCCAAGCGAGCUACUUGUAAGCAGCUACCUAUGAGCGAACCCGUCUCUGUGGCAAAAGAGUGGGAUGACUUACUAGUAGAGGUGAAAAGCCAACCGAGCUGGGUGAUAGCUGGUUGCCUGUGAAACGAAUCUAAGUUCCCCCCUGACCCCCCUCCCCGGACACUAAACCUAGCCCUAAUGAAGAGGGUCAAGAGCAAUUUAAAGGGGGUACAGCCCCUUUAAAAAAGGAUACAACCUCCACUAGCGGAUAAACCCAAAUAUCACAAACUGUAGGCCUUCAAGCAGCCACCAACAAAGAGUGCGUCAAAGCUCCACAUGCAAAAAUCCAACAACAAUACGACUCCCUUAACGCUAACAGGCUAACCUAUAUAACAAUAGGAGAACUUAUGCUAGAAUGAGUAACUCAGGGGCUGCCCCUCUCUAAGCGCAAGCUUACAUCAACACAUUAUUAACAAAUAAAACCGAUAUUUCAAUUCAGACAAGAUUAAAAUAUCAACUUACCCUGUUACCCCAACUCAGGAGCGCCCAUUAGAAAGAUUGAAGUCUGUAAAAGGAACUAGGCAAGCCCAGGGCCCGACUGUUUACCAAAAACAUAGCCUUCAGCCAACCAAGUAUUGAAGGUGAUGCCUGCCCAGUGACACAGUGUUCAACGGCCGCGGUAUCCUAACCGUGCGAAGGUAGCGCAAUCAAUUGUCCCAUAAAUCGAGACUUGUAUGAACGGCUAAACGAGGUCCCGACUGUCUCUUACAGACAAUCAGUGAAAUUGAUCUUCCCGUGCAAAAGCGAGAAUAUCCCCAUAAGACGAGAAGACCCUGUGGAACUUAAAAAUCAACAGCCACUAUACACAAACCCAAGCCUACUAGGCCUAUUACUACAAAAACUGGCUCACAUUUUUCGGUUGGGGCGACCUUGGAGAAAAACAAACCCUCCAAAAAUAAGACCACACCUCUUAACCAAGAGCAACCCCUCAACGUACUAACAGUAACCAGACCCAAUACAAUUGACCAAUGGACCAAGCUACCCCAGGGAUAACAGCGCAAUCUCCUCCAAGAGCCCACAUCGACGAGGAGGUUUACGACCUCGAUGUUGGAUCAGGACAUCCUAAUGGUGCAGCCGCUAUUAAGGGUUCGUUUGUUCAACGAUUAAUAGUCCUACGUGAUCUGAGUUCAGACCGGAGCAAUCCAGGUCGGUUUCUAUCUAUGACUAACUCUCUCUAGUACGAAAGGACCGAGAAAGUAGGGCCAAUACCACAAGCACGCCCUCUCCCCAAGUAAUGCACCCAACUAAAUUACCAAAGGACCCCCUACCGUCUCCUCCUAGAAAAGGACUA
rnacentral:rRNA from 1 species